rnacentral:snRNA from 1 species
GGAUGUGAGGGUGAUCUGGCUGUGACAUCUUUCACCCCACUGAUCACAAGUUUGACUCAGCUGUUCUGGCUGGCUAGGCAGUAUCCCCUGCCCUUCCUCAACACUGUAUGCGUCUCUCCCCCGGUGCACGCUCAUGGAAGAGGACAAAUGACUUUCCCAAUAGAGAAGUACUGUUCUUUGGACAGGGUAUACGAGUAGCUGUGUUUCUCUUCUAGAACAUCCAGCAAGCCCUCAAGAAAUCAGUUAGAGGAAAUGAUGGGUGGCAUCACUUUAGAUAAAAUGAUCAGGGACCAUUU